rnacentral:rRNA from 1 species
UACGAAGGGGGCUAGCGUUGUUCGGAAUUACUGGGCGUAAAGCGCACGUAGGCGGACUAUUAAGUCAGGGGUGAAAUCCCGGGGCUCAACCCCGGAACUGCCUUUGAUACUGGUAGUCUCGAGUCCGGAAGAGGUGAGUGGAAUUCCGAGUGUAGAGGUGAAAUGCGCAGAUAUCAGGAAGAACACCCGUGGCUAAGGCGGCUCUCUAGUACGGUACUGACGCUGAGACGCGAAAGCGUGGGGAGCGAACAGG